UCGAGAGGCUUCCACAAUGGGGGAAACCCUGAUGGAGCGACGCCGCGUGGGUGAUGAAGGUCUUCGGAUCGUAAAGCCCUUUCAGCAGGGAAGAAGAGAUCGACGACUAAUAAUCGUUGAGAUCAGACGGUACCUGAAGAAGAAGCUCCGGCUAACUCCGUGCCAGCAGCCGCGGUAAGACGGAGGGAGCAAGCGUUGUUCGGAUUUACUGGGCGUAAAGGGCGUCUAGGCGGACUGAUAAGUCAGAUGUGAAAUACCUCGGCUCAACCGGGGAAUUGCAUUUGAUACUGUCGGUCUUGAGUACGGAAGAGGGAAGCGGAAUUCCUGGUGUAGCGGUGAAAUGCGUAGAUAUCAGGAAGAACACCGGUGGCGAAGGCGGCUUCCUAGUCCGUUACUGACGCUGAAGCGCGAAAGUGUGGGGAGCAAACA
rnacentral:rRNA from 1 species